rnacentral:rRNA from 1 species
AGUGAACGCUGGCGGCGUGCCUAAUACAUGCCAGUCGAACGGAGUGGCGCACGGGUGAGUAAUGUAUAGCUAAUCUGCCCUACACUAGAGGACGACAGUUGGAAACGGCUGCUAAUACUCUAUAGUGUAGGAUGAGGCUAUAUUGGAUCAGCUAGUUGGUGAGGGAAUGGCUCACCAAGGCUAUGACGCAUAACUGGUCUGAGAGGAUGAUCAGUAACACUUGAAAUGAGACACCGUUCAGACUCCUACGGGAGGCAGCAGUAGGGAAUAGUGUCCAAUGGGCGUAACCCUGAAGCAGCAACGCCGCGUGGAGGAGGACACUUUUCGGAGCGUAAACUCAUUUUGUUAGGGAAGCGGUACCUAACGAAGAAGCACCGGCUAACUCCGUGCCAGCAGCCGCGGUAAUUC